GUGGGCGUGGCCUAGCGGUUAAGGCGCCUGGUUGUGGCCCAGGAGAUCGAGGGUUCAAAUCCCUCCGUCCACCCCA
rnacentral:tRNA from 1 species